GUAGGUGGCAAGCGUUGUCCGGAAUUAUUGGGCGUAAAGCGCGCGCAGGCGGUUCGUUUAAGUCUGAUGUGAAAGCCCACGGGCUCAACCGUGGAGGGUCAUUGGAAACUGAGAACUUGAGUACAGAAGAGGAAAGCGGAAUUCCACGUGUAGCGGUGAAAUGCGUAGAGAUGUGGAGGAACACCAGUGGCGAAGGCGGCUUUCUGGUCUGUAACUGACGCUGAGGCGCGAAAGCGUGGGGAGCAAACAGGAUUAGAUACCCUGGUAGUCCACGCCGUAAACGAUGAGUGCUAAGUGUUAGGGGGGUUUCCGCCCCCUUAGUGCUGCAGCUAACGCAUUAAGCACUCCGCCUGGGGAGUACGGCCGCAAGGCUG
rnacentral:rRNA from 1 species